rnacentral:rRNA from 1 species
GACGAACGCUGGCGGCGUGCCUAAUACAUGCAAGUCGAACGCAGUGGGGACGGGUGAGUAACACGUGGGUAACCUCCCAUCAGAGGGGAUACCACUUGGAAACAGGUGCUAAACCGAUACUGAUGGAUGGACCCGCGGUGCAUUAGCUACGUGGUGAGGUAACGGCGCACCAUGGCCACGAUGCAUAGCCGGCCUGAGAGGGUGAGCGGCCACACUGGGACUGAGAAACGGCCCAGACGCCUACGGGAGGCAGCAGUGGGGAAUAUUCGGCAAUGGACGAAAGUCUGACCUAGCAACGCCGCGUGAGUGAAGAAGGUUUUCGGAUCGUAAAACUCUGUUGGUAGAGAAGCGGUAUCUAACCAGAAAGCCACGGCUAACUACGUGCCAGCAGCCGCGGUAAUUC